rnacentral:miRNA from 12 species
AGCUGUACAGAUGUUACAUUU